UGGCCAGUAGUGGAACCCCUCCUCAGACCAGAAAACCAGGAAACUACAGUACAAAGUUGUCUACUUCCCCUCAGCUUGAUAAAGAUCUCUACAAAAAAGGGGCCUUGCAGUUAAGAUGCAUACUAUCUAAAUGCAACAUUCCCGGUUCAUUUCCAGCCAGGGACGCUUAUGUAUGUCAUGGCCAUCUCUCUUUCUGCCAUGCAACACUAUGCCCGUUUUUGUACCAGCCCGCACCCACCAGAUUUCAUGCAACACUUCAUAGUUUUAACCAGUCAUGCAAGUUUUACUAUCUCCAGAAAAUAACUUAAAAAAAAUCAUAUUUGCUUGGUGCUUACAGCUCUCAGGCCUUGUUCACAAAAUAACCGCAGUCUACAGUUACACUGUUACAAACACACAUCCUUUAACAUAAAGGUGAAGCACUAAGUUUUGACACCUCCUCUUCUUUUCUCCCCCACUAAACAUGCUCCAUCACCUCGCUUGUACAAAACAGUCAAUAAAACAAAUGCAAAUAGUAAUGGUAAGUACAGCUUGCAUUAAGCUAACAAUAACGUAUUAGUAGCCAGAGAGUCAGGACAUAAUUCAAAUCAGGCUGUAUCACUCCAGUGAGUUUCCGUGCAUGCCUUUGCCGUAUGUGACCCAUAUUUGUUAUGCAGAAAAGCUAGCAAGCUAACUAGGCUACGUUUUAGCCGGCUAGCUCAGUCAACACCAAAGAACAAAGGGAGGCAGCGUCGCACAGUAAAUAUUUCCCAGUUUGUAAAGUAGCGACGAGGCGUCAUUUAUCUCUUCAAGGCCCGCUGUGAGGAUGGAGAUACCCGGGAGGGCUGCCGUGUCUGUCUCCGGCUCUCUCUGGCUCGGAUAUAAAGGAAGGGAAGGAGACCUCUAGCCAGGAUAACAUGCAAGAAAAGCAUAGAGGAAGCCCCCCCGAAAAGCCAAGCUUGUAGGCAUUAAAAGACGUCGAUAAGCCUUCAUUGGCGGGGCGCAGCGGGCAUCUUCAUCAUCUGUGGGGAAGGCGGAGAAAAAGAAAGAAAGACAGAGAGGCUCACAUCGUUACAAGAUGACCGAGGAAUUAAGGAGGAAGAGAGAGGGGGAGAGAACAAAGGAGAAGUGCCCUGUAAAAAGAAAAAUAUGCCGUCUUCUUUGGGGCAGCAUGUUUGCUUUAGACUUUAGACUGUUUAUGAUAAUGUAUUUAGACACGUGUUAUUAUGUUUUGUGUUCAGAGAAGCUGUCCUAAAGAAGACACAUCAAAUUGCUUAUCCUUGUAUUCUUGAAUGUCAAGGAAGCCCUCCUGCUGUUACUGUUGGGUUGGCUUCAGUGACUGAAAUGCAUGUUAACCAGUGGGCUUAGUCAUUUAUUCUAUUCUGUUCUACUCUAUUCUAUCCUCUCUUGCAUAGCAGGGCAUCAGGGGUUAGACUCUCAGUAGUUUUUAGGUUUUAACACACACUUUAAAUUUGUUGCAUAGGUAGAUCAGGUUUCACAACAGUGACUGAAAUGGUGUUAUUGUUCUAGUCUGUUCUAUUCUUUUGUCUCGUACGUAGUAGGCUUUCAGUGGUUAGACUAUUGUUGAUUCAAACACACAAUUCAGAUUUAUUUAUUUAUUUUUUUGCAGAUUUUCAAGGCAAAGUAAAAUGUAGUUAUUGUGUUAUUGUUUUAGUCUUUGUUGCACAGAGGGCUUUUUAUUAUACUAUCAGUAGUUUUUAGGUUUUAACACACAAGUGUUGCAUAGGUUGAUCAGAUUUUACAACACAGAGUGAAACAGUUAUUUUUCUAUUCAGUUAUAUUCUAUUCUGUUCUCUCCUGGUUUUUCAGUGGCUAGACUACAGUAUGUAGGUUGUUGAUUCAAACAAGCACACAAUUUACAUUUAUUUAUUUGCAGAUAAAAAUCUGAUUUUACAUCGCAGAGUGAAAUGUAGUUAUUGUGCUUUCUAUCCUAUUCUAUUCUUUCUUGCAGAGAAGUUUUUUUUAUAUUAUACUCUCAAUAGUUUUCAGGUUUUAACACACACAUUUGUGUCAUAGAUUGAUCAGAUUUUACAACACAGAGUGAAAUUAAGUUAUUCUUCUAUUCUCUCCUUUUCUCUUCUCCUCACUCUAUUUCUGCAUUCGAAUGCUGCAAUGUUACACCACAUGAACACACUCCUGCCUGGUCACUAUCUUUAGGACUGUCCCAAAGAGACUUGAGUGUAAUUUGACACACUGGCACUCACACAUACACAUUCACACAACCAGUCACUCAUGUGUUCAUGUACACACACACAAACACACAAUCGCAACAGGAUAUCAAGGGUAAUUUUACAACAAAGCUGUCUGGAAUUACAAGUAUUUCCCAUUGCUAGGAACUGAAAGAAGUCAUGUUUAUGUAGGAGAGAGCUUACUUGGAAACCCUUUUCUGAUUGUCUGCAUGACGUAAUAUGAUGUAACAAGUAACAGGGCUUUUACACUUUACAGAAUCUCAAACCCACAUUGUUAUGGACACGUCCAAAAAAGGUUAAAAGGAAACUUUAAACGUGUAAAAUCUCCACAGCAUGUGGGUUUAUGGUUCCAAUUAAAAUCCUAGACUUAGGGCUGUUUGUUCACUGCAGCAUUGUUAGACGCCACAGUAAGCUGUGAAAUGUUACCCACACUGUUCAAGGCAAGAAUAGGCAGUUAAACAGCCAUGGAAAGUGUGACAACCUAAUUUCUGAGAACUGUAGUGACCUCUAGUGACUUUGCUUUAUCCUACAGUAGAAUUAAAUUACAAAUAGUUAUAAUUGUAUAAAAUUGUUUCAUUUCCAUUAAAAAAAGCAUUUUAUCAGCAGAAAGACUUGACUCAAGAGACACUGCAGACAAUAUCUUGUAUAGCUAGGAAAACACAUUUGUGGUCAAAUUAGACUUACAGACUAGCUGAAAACAUCAGAUCCAUCUGUAUGUGUGCAUGCAACCUGUUACAGUAAAUAGUUUCCCUGACUAAACAGAAGUAAAAGGUGUGCACUUUCAGAUUGCAUGGACACUUUUUCAUUGAUUGAUGAUAUAUGAUAUUUGCAGCAACACAAAAGAAUAAAUGUACAGUCUUCUGCUUAUACAUGGUUCAGUCACUAGAUGGAGCUGGAAAGUUUGAAAUGCAGACUGAGGUACCCUGCUGAGACCAAGAUACCUGUGUGUGUGUGUGUGUGUGUGUGUGCUUGUGUAUACUUUUUUGUUCUUACAGUUUUUGGAAGUGAAUGAAACCAAUUACACCUGCUAUAGUGCUAUAGUGUACGUACAUUAAUGCCUAUGGCCCUAUCAGCACCUUUUUGUUAGUCAUGUCUGAUGUUGGCCAUCUACUGCAACAUUUCUGUUGAUAUAUUUGGUACCACUCACAUGCACUUUAGCAAAAAACAAAACAAAAUAAAACAUGGAUAUGAUGCAUCUGAUGGAAAACAUGGCAUGUGGGCUGCAAAACAAGAAAAUUUGCCAUUUAGAAAAUAACCAUUUUUUUUACUCCACAGCCACUGAAGCAGUAAUUGCUCAAACAGCCAUACACAAGGCUUCCUUUUUCAGGUUGUAAAAAAAUAGAAUCUAAAAAACACAUAUAGCCAGACUUUUUCAGGCAUUGACCAGCAGUCUUUGCUUUUCAGACUUUUGAAGUUGACUCUCCUUUUUCUGACAUUUCUUUUUAAUCUAUCUCUGUUGCUUCUUUUACCAGACCCUUUCUUCUCCUAAUUAUCUUCUUCUUCAGCAACCUCUCUUCCUUCCACCUCUGUCAUAUAGCCAACAGAACAGCUGACACAGAGGUUAAUAGGCUUGCCAUUGAAUUAUUCUUAACUGCCCAGCUCUUGCGCUAGAUCAAAGUCUGCAGCUGUACAUCUGCCUUAUUAUCUAUCUGAUGCUGAGGUUUGCAAUUGUCUGGCCAUCUGUGUUAAAGAUAGGGCUGCUAGUUGAACCACUGAUUUACUGUUAUCUGUCAAACACUACCCCCCAGCCCUAUAACCACAGUGUAUUUGAAAAAAAAAAGUAUUUAAAAUGUUUUAAAUCAUUCACAUCCAGCUGUUUGUCAAGGAGGCUGGCAGACGGCACACGUUUGAUUGUCUCAUUUAUUGAUUUACUAUUUUGUCAGAGCCAACUGCAACCCCUCACUGAUUCUCCACUGUGCCACACUUCCAAGAGCAAAACCAAAAAGAGAUUGAGACAGGGGACAGAGCGAAAGAGAGAAUAAGAAGACAAAUAGGAUGAAGGCUGAAAAUCAGAAUGCGCAAGUGAAUACAGAGGCAGCCAGUUUGUAAGAAAUUCAGGUCAAGUUGACCCUGAGGUUAAAAGUGGCAUUCAGCAAAAGAUGCUCUAAACGUUGCUAGCACUGGGAACAUCGCUUGGCCUGUUUUUUGUCCUUUGUUUUUACUUUAAAAAUGUAACCCUAGACAUAUAUUCAUCUGUAGUUAUUGUGCUACCUGCUAAAAAUAAUUUUAAAUCCUGCUUAACUGAGACCCUCAAUUCAGUAUUUUAUACUUGUGCAAAUGUCUGAAAACAAACAUUUUCCACUGACCACAUUACGCCAUUACGCCAAGUAUUUGAAAUAUGUGAAAAUUAUAUGUGAGUCAGGUGACAAAAAAACUGGCAUGUUUUUGGUAAGCAGAUGUACUUCGGCCAUAUUUGUGAAAGAUUUUAUAACAAAUACAUAUUAGUGUUUUAGUGUUUUUUGCAAAGCUAAAUGUUCUACACAGAAAUGUAAAAUUGUCCGUUUGUAUCCACUUUUUAGGUGGUUAAAAUGCUUUGACAAUCCACUUUGUGGUCCGCAAGUGUGCAUUUGUAAAUACCGUAUGCUUAUAUUUCAAACAUACUGUACAUGCUCUGGUUUUGAAACAAUAUUUUGCUGAUAUCUACAAAAUCACAAACGUUCACAACACCAUGUAGAGCUUACAGGAAAGACCAUUUAGAAGAAGUAGUAAGAAAAUGGUCUAGUUUUUCCUUGACGAAAGAAAAUCAAAUCAAUUCCUCCGGGUGGAAAACUGGUGAAAGUGUGAACAGGGUAGCACCAGCGUUGAGCCCAACAUCCUAGAUUUUAAUCAUAAAUAGUGAUAGAUGGCAAUAAAGUUGGUGUUGAGGGACAAGAAAAACAGUAGAGAGUGAUUCCAACUCACCUCCUGUGCACAGGGCCCAUUCCUAGCUAAUUCCUAACACCUGUGCACAGAUUCAUAUGUCCUCUGUUUUAUUUUCUGGCACACUGUUUUGUGGGAAAAUAUCAAUAUAAGCUGUUGGGACUUAACAAGAACACAGAUGGCUGUAUCAUUAGAAGAGGGAAAAAAAUACAGAACAGCCAAGAUUUAAAGCUGGUUUGGGCAAGAAUGACCUUGGCCAGAGAGGAGACUUAUAACCUAAUGGUUGAUGGAAGAUAUGCAAAAAGACAUGUGAAAGACUGAGAGCAUGAGGUAAAAUUCUGUGGUUUAUUAAAUACUGAACUCCUCAGCAAAACAAAGUGCUACAGUAUGUGUGGCUGAAAUCACCAUCAAACGGCAUCCUCUCCGUGAAGCAUGGGAGCAGUAUCGUGUCAUGGUGGCAGGCUUUUCAGCUGCAGAGACAAGGGUGGUUUUAAGCUUACAGGGAGACAAUGACUGAAGUCAUGUGCAGGACACUUCUUGAGGAGAACCUGCUUAUGAAUGCAGAAGAUGUUACUCUGCAGCUAAACUCUAUGUUCUAACAGGACAAUGACCUUAGCAUCCAACCAAUUCAACACUGGACUGGCUUCUGAACAAGAAUGUUGAAGUACUUGAGUCCAAGCCCAGACUUGAAUCCCUAUGGAAAUCUAUGGAGUGAGAUGAUGAACUGUUCACGGACACUCCUCUUGCAAUUUUGACCAAGCUGGGACAAAUCUGUAAGGAAUAAUGGGAGUAUCUUAACCUGACAGAUUAAUCAAAGCUGUAUUCAUCGCAAAAAAGUCUUUACACAGCUGAGUUGUUAUUUAUUUACAAGACAUUUUAGCUUUGUAAUCAAUGUUUCUUUGUGUGAAGUGCUGUCAGAAAUCUAAACUUGAAUCCAUUUUGAACUCAAGGGUUUACUUUAUUCUUUGUGUAGGUGGUGUAAUGUAAUGUAAUGUAAUGGAUGCUUUAUUAAACUCUUACUCUAUA